CGCUUUUUUAAAGAGGAAAGUCCGGGCAAUGCAGUGCGCCAUGCUUCCUAACGGGAAGAUCUCCGUGAGGGGAUAGUAACAUAACAGAAAACGACCGCCCGCAAGGGUAAGGGUGAAAAGGCGGGGUAAGAGCCCACCAGAGCUUCGGGCAACCGAAGUUGCUGUAUGUCUGAUGGAUUGUAAGACCAUGUAUAUUCCGAUUGCCUUUGGCUACAGGGUUGCACGCUCUGGUUAUUCAGUUAAGUCGGAAGGGGUAGGUCGCUGGAGGCAUUGGGUGACCAGUGUCCAAGAUAAAUGAUAAGCGCCUUCGGAUGAAGGAACAGAACUCGGCUUAUAGACUUACUA
rnacentral:RNase_P_RNA from 1 species